UACGUAGGGUGCGAGCGUUAAUCGGAAUUACUGGGCGUAAAGCGUGCGCAGGCGGUCCGUUGUGUCCGAUGUGAAAGCCCCGGGCUUAACCUGGGAAUGGCAUGGGAAACUGGCGGGCUGGAGUGUGGGCAGAGGGGGGUGGGAAUUCCGCGUGUAGCAGUGAAAUGCGUAGAGAUGCGGAGGAACACCGAUGGCGAAGGCAGCCCCCUGGGCCAACACUGACGCUCAGGCACGAAAGCGUGGGGAGCAAACAGG
rnacentral:rRNA from 1 species